ACACUGUUCAUGGGUUACCGCGGCUGCUGGCACGGAGUUAGCCGGUGCUUCUUCUGUGAGUGAUGUCCUUCCUGCCGGUUAUUGACCCGCAGGCCUUCUUCCUCACUGAAAGUGCUUUACAACCCGAAGGCCUUCUUCACACACGCGGCAUGGCUGGAUCAGGGUUGCCCCCAUUGUCCAAUAUUCCCCACUGCUGCCUCCCGUAGGAGUCUGGGCCGUGUCUCAGUCCCAGUGUGGCUGAUCAUCCUCUCAGACCAGCUACGGAUCGUCGCCUUGGUGAGCCGUUACCUCACCAACCAGCUAAUCCGACAUAGGCUCAUCCGAUAGCGCGAGGCCCGAAGGUCCCCCGNUUUCCCCCGUAGGGCGUAUGCGGUAUUAGCCUGGGUUUCCCAGGUUAUCCCCACUACCGGGCAGAUUCCUAUGCAUUACUCACCCGUCCGCCGCUCGCCACCAGGGAGCAAGCUCCCCGUGCUGCCGCUCGACUUGCAUGUGUUAGGCCUGCCGCCAGCGUUCAAUCU
rnacentral:rRNA from 1 species